CCACUGAGAAGAGCCUGGCUCCAUCUUCUUGACAUUCUUCCUUCAGUCAUAGCCCUCUUCUGGACCCACUCCAGGAGCUCCAUGUCUCUUUCGUACUGAGGAUCCCAGAGCUGUUCACAGCAUUGCAGAUCACACCUGAAGUACUGUGCUCAGUUCUGAUCCCCAUAAAAGAAGAAAGGUAUGUACAGAGUGCCAAAGACCAGGAAGAUGAUCAAAGUACUGGAGAAGCUGCCUAUAUGGAAAGAAGUUAGGUCUCUUCUCCCUGAAGAAGAGAAGAUUCAGAAGAGACUUCAUAAAAUA